UACGAAGGGGGCUAGCGUUGUUCGGAAUCACUGGGCGUAAAGCGCACGUAGGCGGAUGUGUCAGUCAGGGGUGAAAUCCCGGAGCUCAACUUCGGAACUGCCCUUGAUACAGCACGUCUUGAGUCCGGAAGAGGUGGGUGGAAUUCCUAGUGUAGAGGUGAAAUGCGCAGAUAUCAGGAGGAACACCUAUUGCGAAGGCAGCUCGCUGGGACGUAACUGACGCUGAGACGCGAAAGCGUGGGGAGCAAACAGG
rnacentral:rRNA from 1 species